AUAAGCGGAGGAAAAGAAACCAACAGGGAUUGCCCCAGUAACGGCGAGUGAAGCGGCAACAGCUCAAAUUUGAAAUCNGGCUUCGGCCCGAGUUGUAAUCUGCANAGGAUGCUUCGGGGCGGGCGUCCCUCCGAGUCCCCUGGAACGGGGCGCCANAGAGGGUGACAGCCCCGUACGGCCGGACGUGCCGCCCCNCGCGAAGCUCCCUCCAAGAGUCGAGUAGUUUGGGAAUGCUGCUCAAAGCGGGAGGUAAAUUCCUUCCAAGGCUAAAUACCGGCCGGAGACCGAUAGCCCNCAAGUAGAGUGAUCGAAAGAUGAAAAGCNCUUUGGAAAGAGGGUUAAACAGUACGUGAAAUUGCUGAAAGGGAAGCGCCUGCGACCAGACUCGCGCCCUGCGGAUCAUCGGGUGCCUCGUUGGGCCCGUGCACUCCGUCGGGACGCGGGCCAACAUCGGCUCGNGGNNGGGGGACAAAAGCGGGGGGAACGUGGCCUCCCCCGGGAGGUGUUAUAGCCCNCCGCCCAAUGCCCCGCGGCGGGCCGAGGACCGGCNNNNNNNNNGGAAGGAUGCUGGCAUAAUGGCC
rnacentral:rRNA from 1 species